rnacentral:sRNA from 1 species
CUCUCUCGGACAUGUUUAUUUGUUUUCUCAUUCUCUCCUGUCGUCAUACCGACCUUU